rnacentral:rRNA from 1 species
CAGCAGCCGCGGGAAUACGAAGGGGGCUAGCGUUGUUCGGAUCUACUGGGCGUAAAGCGCACGUAGGCGGAUCCUUAAGUCAGAGGUGAAAUCCCAAGGCUCAACCUUGGAACUGCCUUUGAUACUGGGGAUCUCGAGUUCGGGAGAGGUGAGUGGAACUGCGAGUGUAGAGGUGAAAUUCGUAGAUAUUCGCAAGAACACCAGUGGCGAAGGCGGCUCACUGGCCCGAUACUGACGCUGAGGUGCGAAAGCGUGGGGAGCAAACAGGAUUAGAUACCCGGGUAGUCCCUGUCUCUUAUAC